rfam:Culex pipiens quinquefasciatus supercont3.201 genomic scaffold, whole genome shotgun sequence.
UAAACGGCCCUUUUCAGGGCCACAAAAUUAUCACGAGAGAGUUAUU